CAGGACGAAAAGCAUCUGGACAAAGGGGCGGAGCCGGUAUAUGAGUGGAUGAUGGGACGUGACACUGAUCUUCACCUGGACGUCUUGAUGGACCGUCUCCUGCUUCUUCUGUAAAAAGUAGAGGAAGUGACAUCAUCGAGGACGAGAAGCUGUGGACAAAGGGGCGGAGCCAGGGCUCUUGUGGUGGCUGUAGUUGUGACACUGACCUUCACCUGGACUGGCCCCUGCUUCAUGCCUGUGCUUAUUCUGUAAAAAGUAGAGAGGAAGUGACAUUAUCGAGCAGGAUGAGAAGCUCCUGAACAAGGAGCAAGAGAGGAUCUGGACAAAGGGAUGUUUGGUUUCUUUAUUUAACAUGUUGAUGAUUCAUGGAUAUAGAUGAUUGAGACCAAACAAUAAAACAUUGCAAAGAUACGAAUGAUGAUUACCACCGUUAAUAUCCUAAGAUCCAGUGUGUUGUAUGAACAAAAAGGGCAAAGUAGCUUGUUAAGAAAAUAUCAUCCCUAACAUAAAAUCAAUAACAGGUCAUUUCUGUUCAUUGUAGUUUAAAUGAUGUCAGUCGGUGUGUUGGUUGGUCUGUAGGUGGGGGAGUCGGUGUUUCU